UCUGUAUGGUCUAUAUUGGGAAGCUAGGGCCUACCAAUAGCUAGUGGCACAAAAAAUUCCAGCCAGAGCUUUGCUGACACUAAAACAUUUACUUUGUGAUAUCAAUCUGCAAUGCACGCACUAAAAAUUCCGCCAGAAGCUGUCUUCAUUGUUCUCUAAAUACCUCUUAAUGUAUUUGUAUUUCUGCAGCACAACUGUCACUGCACGAGGUUCAGCAAUCAGCACAAUUACCAGCAGCUGAGGCCAUUGUACAAACAGCAUGCCCACCAGCAGCUGAGCCCAUUGUGCAAGCAGGUGCACGAUCGAUUAGAUCACAGCCAGCCAGCCCAGCAGCAUCUUGAGGCAGUGACACCUGCUCUGAUUACAAGGGCAUUCAGCAGCCUUGAAGAAUUCCUGGGGUUCGAUAAUAACAGUCCAGCAAUUAGGAAGCAACUGGGUUACCUCUCUAAACAUGGGCAGGUUGCAGUAUACAGGGUGGCAAAUCUCAUGAGAGAUGGCGUCAAGUCAAACGGGUUGUUUGCCGCAACAAUAAAUGAGGUUGAGGUAGUGGUGAGCUGUUUGGCUGCUGGUUUGGUCUCGGCACCUAAAAUAUGUGAUAUAUAAAUGUUACUUUUAGAACUGCUGUGGACAACCUAUGGAUAUCGAGUUUUCUCAAAAUAGACAUCCUCUAAAUAUUGUAAUAAUAAUGCCGAUAUCAUAUCAAUGUUGUAUGUGGAACUGCUGUGGACAAUCUAUGAAUGUCCAAUGAGU